rnacentral:tRNA from 1 species
GUGAGUUUGGUGCAGUGGUAAAACACCUUGUUUACACCCAAAAGGUCUUUGGUUCAAUACCUGUUUGUUACA